rnacentral:rRNA from 1 species
UACGGGGGGAGCAAGCGUUGUUCGGAUUUACUGGGCGUAAAGGGCGUGCAGGCGGUCUGCUAAGUCUAGGGUGAAAGCUCCCGGCUCAACUGGGAGAGGUCCUUGGAUACUGACAGACUUGAGGGAGGCAGAGGAGAAUGGAAUUCCCGGUGUAGUGGUGAUAUGCGUAGAGAUGUGGAGGAACACCGAUGGCGAAGGCAGCCUUCUGGGCCAACACUGACGCUCAUGCACGAAAGCGUGGGGAGCAAACAGG